ensembl:lncRNA novel transcript
CGCGCUACGUCCCUCAGACUGGCUGCCCCCGAGGGUUCGCGUGAGCGGAGCACGGGGCUCGGGGUGCGGGGGGCUGGUGUGAUGGACGCAUUUGUUCUUCGGUCCCUGACGAUUGUUUCUCAUUUGCCCUCCAAGCCCCAAAUCCUGUCAGUCCACGGCCUUGAUGGAGCGGCCCCCGUGGGACGACCCUGUUGAUUGUGCUAGCGGAUGUUGUCUCCAUUCUGGAUCUGGGAAAAACUGUGGAGUGAAAGCCGGACCUGUUAGGGUUGGGACCUGAAAGCGGACUUUUUCGCUCUCAGACGGGCCCCAGGAAUUUCAUGUUUAACAGAGGUGUCUUCAAGGAGAUGAAACAAUUCAGAAUGACCUAGGCAAUGGGGUAAUUCCUAAGAUGCUUGACUCAGUGAUGCAGAACCUUUCAGAGUUAGCUGGAAGCCACAGCCCUGCCUCUUGAUGCAGCCUGGAUCCAGCCGGUGUGAAGAGGAGACCCCUUCCCUCUUGUGGGGUUUGGAUCCUGUGUUUCUAGCCUUUGCAAAACUCUACAUCAGGGAUAUCCUGGACAUGAAGGAGUCCCGCCAGGUGCCAGGUGUAUUUUUGUACAAUGGACAUCCAAUAAAACAGGUAGAUGUCUUGGGAACUGUCAUUGGAGUGAGAGAAAGAGAUGCUUUCUACAGUUAUGGAGUGGAUGACAGCACUGGAGUUAUAAACUGCAUCUGCUGGAAAAAGUUGAAUACUGAGUCUGUAUCAGCUGCUCCAAGUGCAGCAAGAGAGCUCAGCUUAACCUCACAACUUAAGAAGCUACAAGAGACCAUUGAGCAGAAAACAAAGAUAGAGAUCGGGGACACGAUCCGAGUCAGAGGCAGUAUCCGCACAUACAGAGAAGAGCGAGAGAUUCAUGCCACCACUUACUAUAAAGUGGACGACCCAGUGUGGAACAUUCAAAUUGCAAGGAUGCUUGAGCUGCCCACUAUCUACAGGAAAGUUUAUGACCAGCCUUUUCACAGCUCAGCCCUAGAGAAAGAAGAGGCACUAAGCAAUCCAGGCGCCCUGGACCUCCCCAGUCUCACGAGUUUGCUGAGUGAAAAAGCCAAAGAAUUCCUCAUGGAGAACAGAGUGCAGAGCUUUUACCAGCAGGAGCUGGAAAUGGUGGAGUCUUUGCUGUCCCUUGCCAAUCAGCCUGUGAUUCACAGUGCCUCCUCCGACCAAGUGAAUUUUAAGAAGGACACCACUUCCAAGGCAAUUCAUAGUAUAUUUAAGAAUGCUAUACAACUGCUGCAGGAAAAAGGACUUGUUUUCCAGAAAGAUGAUGGUUUUGAUAACCUAUACUAUGUAACCAGAGAAGACAAAGACCUGCACAGAAAGAUCCACCGGAUCAUUCAGCAGGACUGCCAGAAACCAAAUCACAUGGAGAAGGGCUGUCACUUCCUGCACAUCUUGGCCUGUGCUCGCCUGAGCAUCCGCCCGGGCCUGAGCGAGGCUGUGCUGCAGCAAGUUCUGGAGCUCCUGGAGGACCAGAGUGACAUUGUCAGCACAAUGGAGCACUACUACACAGCGUUCUGAGCAGAGACACGCAGACCAGCUGAGGAGGACAAAGAUAAGGUGGCAUUCACCCCCAGGCUCUGACUUUCAGCAUCAUGCAGGGGCUUAUCUGUCUGGAGGCAGUUACCUCAUAAUAAACUAUAAAAUAUAGUCAUCUUGGGAAUGGGAUUUGGCAUAAAUGUUGUUGGCUCCCUUCUGUCCACUAUGUCCUUGGUGUACAAUGACUUUGAUCUCAGCCAUGACACAACAAGAAAACCCUCCCUGUUGAGCUCCUGGCUGGACUGUGCGUUGUUCGCAGAGCAGAAUGGGGAGGAAACAGUGUUGGCAGCUUAACUGAUGUGUGUGGUUGGAGUCUCUUCCAUGGCAAAGGGACACCACAGGGUAGUGAACAUUCAGGAACUGAGGGGCAUAUGGCCUGAUCACACAGUUCUAAGCUUUUCAAAACUUCAGGUUAUCAGAGACCUUCCUGUGGGCCUCUCUUGCUGGCUAAGAACCGGUUUAGGGGAGUAGUUCUCCCUGGAUGAGUGCUUACAGUUUCUGUGGCUCAGUUACCAGCAGUGGGGUUGAGACCUGGGUCGAUGCUCUUUACAGGCCUGCCCAGAGAUGGGAAUAAACAGGGAUCCACAGCGUGACUAUGUGUUUGUCAUUUUCCUUUUAUUUCCUUGGGAAUCGAAAGGUGUCCCAGUACAUUUCCCUGCACUUACAGAGGUGCAUGACUAAAUACAUUGUCCCUCGAUGCCCCUGAAGAUCACGGAGGCAGUCAGCCAAUUGCCUGGCAGGUGGUAGAUGUUAUUUUCAGGGUUGCCGCUGAGUGUGCAGGAUGUGCUGACACCAUCCAGACAAAGACUCGGUAUGUGCCCAGACAGGUGAUGGAGUCAUGCUUUUGCUCAGAAUGACAAGGUAAAGGAAAAACAUCUGAGGUAUGUUGU